GAAAGGUCUUGCUUGGUCUCCUCUCUAGCGGGCGGAGAGUUCCAAUGGUCCAGAUUGCCUGGGCAUCCCUGACCCCUCCGGACCACUUCCCUAGAGGGCAUCCUGUGCCCGACUGCUGGGCUGGCAUUUGCAGAGUACAGAUCUAGGCUGUCUGGAUUAUACUACACAUGAAGAGCCUACUGUUUGCAAAAAUUGACUUUUCUUUCCCGCGGCCACGCUGCAAAGGAUGGAGCUCCAGCAGCGAAGCAGCAGUCACUGGUCUAGCUGAAGAGGAAGGAGCCAGGCUCCUGCUUCGUAACCGAGGCAUCUAGCAUCCAGCCAAAGAACUUUUUUGCCUCUGACUAAGGAGCCACUGGUUAUCGGAGCCGGCUCAAUUGAAUACCCAUUCGGAUGAAAGAGUGAAGUAUAAAAUAACAAGGUAGCACAAAAAGCUGGGAAGAGGGACUCGAUGAGAUCACGUAGACGCCCCCAGGAUCAGAUCCUAAAUGCCGUCUUCUGAAGAGCGAUAUUGCUACAGGCUUGGACCAGGGAGUGACCUGCAGGUGGAACUCUGAAUAUGCUGCCUCUUCUAGAAGGCCUGCUCAGCGUGUCACCUCUUUAUGUCUUCUAAGGAGAGAAUCCAUUGGUAGAGGAGGGAGGGCUAUGUGAGCCGGGGUAAGACAAACUGUUACUAAUAGUCCACCUUGUGCCGGUUAUUCAUUAAGCCUCAGUGUAGCCGCAUAAGAUGCUCAGGCACAGCACGUGACCUAAAGUCUGGAUCUUCAAACACCAGCAUCACAUCCAGAGAGGCCAGAGGGUCCCAAGACAAAACAAGCCGGGGCCAAGACGCACUCAGAGCUCCUAUCUCACCCUCUUAGGGGUGUGCUCGGGGCACCAGAUGGGUUAUUAAAUGUUAUUCUCUUUCUCCCUUUUUGGUUAAGCAGAGGACUGCAGAGGAAAGCCUCUGAAUCAAAUGUUUGCUCCACACAGUUCAACUGAAAUGUAGGUUGUGAUGAGUGGACACGUGCUCCACAGCUAAGAGACCAACCGAGGGCAUCCUAUCCCACUCGUGGGUCUAAGGGGAGACUUACAGAAGGCAUACUUACUCUGAAGAUGGAAUGAUAGCUGAAGAGACAGAGUGAUGCCUAGGGCCUGUCAGACACCCAGUUUAGCCUAAUACAGAAAAGCACGGAGGUGAGAAACAACAGGGUGAAUCCAAGGAAAUUCAACAGGAGCAUGUGAGAGGCAGGAGCCAGGGAGAGUUAGACAUGGCCCGAAACAAGUUCUCCCCUCCACCCUGAGGAAUUCUGGUGCUUCAGCACUGGCUCCUGAAGAAUUGGGGAAACUUCCCAGAAGGUUGUCAGCCUCUCUCCGGCAGGAGCUUUACAGAGGUCUGUGGACACUUCAGAGCACCCACACGGGCCAGAGAAGUAACUGGUCACGAGGCUUCCCCCAGGGGGACUUCCUCACUCAAGCGACACAUUAAACUCUGAGUCAAUGAAUGCCAGAGGUUAGGGGUAAAGAUGACAGCACUUCACCUCAAGCUACCUCCUAGUUUUCAUAAAGUUUGGAAUUGAAGCUGACGAGAUGUAGACUCACCGUAAAGAGCUGGAAGCAGCAAGCAUAUCUGUGGCCCAUGAAAAGGGAGAGGGGGACCAGGAGGGCAUGGGCUGGAGAAGGACGAGGUUGUGUCCAGAGGAAUGGAGCAAUUAAACUUUAAACUAUUCUUUUCAUAA
rnacentral:lncRNA from 1 species